UACGUAGGGUGCAAGCGUUAAUCGGAAUUACUGGGCGUAAAGCGUGCGCAGGCGGUUCGGAAAGAAAGAUGUGAAAUCCCAGGGCUUAACCUUGGAACUGCAUUUUUAACUGCCGGGCUAGAGUAUGUCAGAGGGGGGUAGAAUUCCACGUGUAGCAGUGAAAUGCGUAGAGAUGUGGAGGAAUACCGAUGGCGAAGGCAGCCCCCUGGGAUAAUACUGACGCUCAUGCACGAAAGCGUGGGGAGCAGACAGG
rnacentral:rRNA from 1 species